ensembl:rRNA 5S_rRNA 5S ribosomal RNA
AAAUGCAACCUAACCACCCUUAAUGUGCCAAUUUUCAUCUGAUCUCAGAAGCUAAGCAGGGUCAGGCCUGGUUAAUACUUUGAUGGGAGACUGCCUGGGAAAAUACUACGUGCUGUAGGCU